rfam:Nicotiana sylvestris Nsyl_contig11330, whole genome shotgun sequence.
GUUGUCGUGGUGUAGUUGGUUAUGACUUCAUUCUAACACACUGAAGGUCUCCGGUUCAAGUCCGGGCGAUGCCA